rnacentral:tRNA from 1 species
GUAGGUAUAGUUUAACUAAAACAUCAGAUUGUGAUUCUAAAGAUAGAAGUUAAAAUCUUCUUAUCCACC